AACGCACAUUGCGCCCGCCAGUAUUCUGGCGGGCAUGCCUGUUCGAGCGUCAUUUCAACCCUCAAGCCCCGCGUGGCUUGGCGUUGGGGAUCGGCCCCGCUCCGGCGGCCGGCCCCAAAUAUCAUCGGCGGUCACGUCGUGCGACUCUGUGCAGUAAUUAUCGCUCGCAUUGGAACACGGUGUGGCCACGCCACAACUGAUUUAUCUUCUCAAGGUUGACCUCGAAUCAGGUAGGAAUACCCGCUGAACUUAA
rnacentral:misc_RNA from 1 species